rnacentral:snoRNA from 1 species
UGAACUACUGAUAGAUAGAUUCAUACCAAGCGAUGUAGUUCACUGAACUAGUUCGUUCGCGAACUACUCAUGUCUAGCUCAAACCACGUUGAUGAGAUGUGGCGCGGCGCCCUGAGCGUGAGGAUGGCGGAGACAGCUUGUUUCCAGCCCUCGAUGAUCGUUCACUUCCCUUUGCGGGGGAGAGUGGGGUGUUUGUCGCUGUCUGAGUGGU